rnacentral:rRNA from 1 species
CCUACGGGAGGCAGCAGUGGGGAAUAUUGGACAAUGGGGGGAACCCUGAUCCAGCCAUGCCGCGUGUGUGAAGAAGGCCCUCGGGUUGUAAAGCACUUUCAGUGAGGAAGAACGCCUGGUGGUUAAUACCCAUCAGGAAAGACAUCACUCACAGAAGAAGCACCGGCUAACUCCGUGCCAGCAGCCGCGGUAAUACGGAGGGUGCGAGCGUUAAUCGGAAUUACUGGGCGUAAAGCGCGCGUAGGUGGCUUGAUAAGCCGGUUGUGAAAGCCCCGGGCUCAACCUGGGAACGGCAUCCGGAACUGUCAAGCUAGAGUGCAGGAGAGGAAGGUAGAAUUCCCGGUGUAGCGGUGAACUGCGUAGAGAUCGGGAGGAAUACCAGUGGCGAAGGCGGCCUUCUGGACUGACACUGACACUGAGGUGCGAAAGCGUGGGUAGCAAACAGGAUUAGAUACCCUUGUAGUC